rnacentral:rRNA from 2 species
ACGGGUGAGUAAUGCCUAGGAAUCUGCCUGGUAGUGGGGGAUAACGCUCGGAAACGGACGCUAAUACCGCAUACGUCCUACGGGAGAAAGCAGGGGACCUUCGGGCCUUGCGCUAUCAGAUGAGCCUAGGUCGGAUUAGCUAGUUGGUGAGGUAAUGGCUCACCAAGGCGACGAUCCGUAACUGGUCUGAGAGGAUGAUCAGUCACACUGGAACUGAGACACGGUCCAGACUCCUACGGGAGGCAGCAGUGGGGAAUAUUGGACAAUGGGCGAAAGCCUGAUCCAGCCAUGCCGCGUGUGUGAAGAAGGUCUUCGGAUUGUAAAGCACUUUAAGUUGGGAGGAAGGGCAUUAACCUAAUACGUUAGUGUUUUGACGUUACCGACAGAAUAAGCACCGGCUAACUCUGUGCCAGCAGCCGCGGUAAUACAGAGGGUGCAAGCGUUAAUCGGAAUUACUGGGCGUAAAGCGCGCGUAGGUGGUUUGUUAAGUUGGAUGUGAAAUCCCCGGGCUCAACCUGGGAACUGCAUUCAAAACUGACAAGCUAGAGUAUGGUAGAGGGUGGUGGAAUUUCCUGUGUAGCGGUGA